CAAGUCGAACGCGAAAGUGGAGCAAUCCAUGAGUAGAGUGGCGAACUGGUGAGUAACAGGUGGGCAAUGUGCCCCGAAGUGGGGGAUAACUCCGAGAAAUCGGAGCUAAUACCGCAUGUGGCGUCAAGGACCUUGGUUCAUGACGUUAAAGGAGCAAUUCGCUUUGGGAUCGGCCCGCCCCCGAUUAGCUAGUUGGUGAGGUAAUGGCUCACCAAGGCGACGAUCGGUAGCUGGUCUGAGAGGAUGGUCAGCCACACUGGAACUGAGAUACGGUCCAGACUCCUACGGGGGGCAGCAGUCUAGAGGCUUCGGCAAUGGGGGCAACCCUGACCGAGCGACGCCGCGUGCGGGAUGAAGGCGUUUUCGUUGUAAACCGCUGUGUAAGGGGAAGAAUGCCCGGAUGGCGAAUCCGGGAGCGACGGUACCUUUACAGAAAGCCCCGGCUAACUCCGUGCCAGCAGCCGCGGUAAUACGGGGGGGGCAAGCGUUGUUCGGAUUUACUGGGCGUAAAGGGAGUGUAGGCGGUUGGUCAAGUCGGAUGUGAAAGCUUCACCACUCAACGGGAAGAGGUCAUCCGAAACUGGCCGGCUAGAGUAGGGUAGAGGCAAGCGGAAUUCCUGGUGUAGCGGUGGAAUGUGUAGAUAUCAGGAAGAACAUCGGUGGCGAAGGCGGCUUGCUGGGCCCUUACUGACGCUGAGACUCGAAAGCGUGGGGAGCAAACGGGAUUAGAUACCCCGGUAGUCCACGCUGUAAACGGUGAGCACUAGGUGUGGGGGGGUAUCGACCCCUCCCGUGCCGUA
rnacentral:rRNA from 1 species